rnacentral:rRNA from 1 species
UACAGAGGUGGCAAGCGUUGUUCGGAAUUACUGGGCGUAAAGGGCGCGUAGGCGGCCCGUCAAGUCCCGUGUGAAAGCCCCCGGCUCAACCGGGGAACUGCACGGGAAACUAGCAGGCUUGAGUUCGGGAGAGGGAAGCGGAAUUUCGGGUGUAGCGGUGAAAUGCGCAGAUAUCAGGAGGAACACCAACGGCGAAGGCAGCUCGCUAGGACGGUACUGACGCUGAGACGCGAAAGCGUGGGGAGCAAACAGG